rnacentral:rRNA from 1 species
GACAGCAGUCGCCACGGUAAUACGGAGGGUGCAAGCGUUAAUCGGAAUUACUGGGCGUAAAGCGCACGCAGGCGGUCUGACAAGUCAGAUGUGAAAUCCCCGGGCUUAACCUGGGAACUGCAUUUGAAACUGUCAGGCUGGAGUCUUGUAGAGGGGGGUGGAAUUCCAGGUGUAGCGGUGAAAUGCGUAGAGAUCUGGAGGAAUACCGGUGGCGAAGGCGGCCCCCUGGACAAAGACUGACGCUCAGGUGCGAAAGCGUGGGGAGCAAACAGGAUUAGAUACCCGCGUAGUCCCUGUCUCUUAUAC